rnacentral:tRNA from 2 species
GUCCCCAUCGUCUAGCCCGGUUAGGACGUCUCCCUUUCACGGAGAUAACCGGGGUUCGAAUCCCCGUGGGGACACCA